GUCCCAGCAGCGCAAUGAAUUGCGCUUUGGACUUCUAAUCCACAAGUCGUGGGUUCGAAUCCCAUCUGGAAUG